UGGUACUGACAAGCCCACAGGAAACAUCCUGACCAGGCGCACCUGUGAAUGACUGCAGCGAGGAGGAAAUGAACACAUCCCC